CAAAUCAGAAAUGUCUAACACAACGUCUAAUAUCUACAGCGCUGUUGGCUCGUCGUCUUCGACCUCGCGUAGGCUUAAGGACUGGUAUUGUAAGGGAUUUCCUCCUCUUCUUCCGAAGAGGAGAGGCGAAACGGAUCAGAGGACCAAUAUGCGGCGUGACAGCAGACACCAUGAAUCCUGGUCUAGUGCUCCCAGUGAACUGAUUCCUGAUGCUUCUGACAGCUCCUGAUGUGCUGCCCUUCUCCCCUGUCUCGAGAACCCAGAGCCUCGAAAGCCAAGGCUGUUUCAGGUUGCAAUUGGAUGGAAGGAAAGUUAAUUUAGCCCUGACAAUUAAUCUGCAGGAGCCAAACACCCUGUCUGGCUGUUGAAGUGUGACAGCACUGGCGAAGCAGCAGCAACAGCCAGCCUGGACGGGUGCGAUCUGUCUCUCAGCUC
rnacentral:lncRNA from 1 species